rnacentral:lncRNA from 1 species
GAAGCUAGAUACACAAAGGUGAACAUGCCGCUAGACUUAUCAAGUAUUGAAACUGGUCUGAAGCAAUCAAUAAAAAAUUUGAAUAAUACUGUCACUCAGACAAAGCAGAUGAUUGAGAACAUAGCCACAACUGAGGCAAGUUUAGAUGUGAAAAUAGAGAAGCGACAGGUAGAUUUAGAACGCAAUAAAAAAGACUGGAGUCCUUAAAAAAAGUUAGACCAUCAUUUUUGGAAGAAUACGAAAAACUUGAGAAGGAUUUCAAAGAACUGUAUGAAGCUUAUGUUGUGAGAUACAGAUGUGUAGCUUAUUUAGAGCAACAACUUGAGGAAUUUGAGCAGGCCACACAGUCUAGGAUUGAUGCUAAACACGAGGAAACAAGGAAACUCGUUGAAAAAAUGCGUCAGGAAGCAGCUGCAAAACUUUUUGAUGGAACAAUUGAAGAUGAAGGGCAGGCCGCUAAUGGAGCACAAACUGCCGGCACAGGUUCCAGAAUGGUCGGUGGAAAACGAAGAGUAUUUGGAAGCAUGACAGGCGGAGGUGAUGACUUGGGCAGCUCUGAUUCUGACUCUGAUUUGUUUUUUGAUGAUGAUGAUAAUGACGAUGAUGAUGAUGAAGACGAUGAUGAUGAUGACGAUGAUGAAGAUGAUGAUGAUGAUGGCAGACAUGAUGAGGAUCGUGACAAGAGUGCAGACAGAGGAGACGGAGAUUAUUAACCUGAUGAUCCUGGAAUUUUCCAUAAUUGUUGUUAGUCUGAUAAAGGGUAGCCCAUGGCUGAAACAUUUCGACGGUGAAACUACCAAACCACGUAUCUCGUUUGCGGUGUUUAAAAAUCUACGCUCACAUUUUAUUUUUUGAAGUAGACCAAAUCAAUAUCAUUCCUUGAAAUUUUCACAGAAUUUUUUCCGCACGAAGAGGAAAAAUCACAGAAAUUUUCAAGACUGGACGUUAAGUAGUUUUUCAGUUAAAAAAUAAACUAUGACAGGAAGUCUGCGACGUCGCAAACCGAGAUACGUGGUUUGGUAGUUUCACCGUCGAUUUUCUUUCAGUCAUGAUUGUUUUGUCAUUAAACAUUUCAAAUGAAGAGAUUUUUUUUUCUGUUGUCUCAAAUUGUCCUCAAGUAUGACCCUCCUCUUGAAUUCUGGCCUUCAAAUUCUUCUUUUUUAUGUAACUAUCUUUAUGAACAUAAACUACUUAAGUUAAACAAAUUAUUGGUUUUUUAAAUUAAUAAAGUCUUAGCUAGAAGAUAAAAUUAAGUAAUUUGUCAAGUUAAAAUUGAAAUUUAUCAAUCUAGCCUUUGAGACAAAUAAUUAAACUAAAGUACCUAUAUUAAUUAAACUAAAUUUUCUUCGCUCCCUAGUUGUGUUUCUAUCUUUCAUUUAUGCUUUCAUUUCCUUUUAUUAAUGCCAAACAAAUCAACGCUAUUGCUUCAAAUUUUCCUAGACUAUGCUUCACACAAAGAAGAGAGAUUAGGGAAAUUUUCAAGGAAUGACAUUGUAUAUUUUUCCAUUUGAAAAAUAAAUUAA